GAGAUGCUAAUUAAUUUUGUUUUCCUGUACAGGACCAUUAAGCAACAUUCAAGACUUUGUGGAGACUACAAUAGUCCUGAAAAAAGACAAGAAUGAUCUUGGAAUCAGUGUGGCUGGUGGAAGCGACACUUAUUUGGAAGUGGUAUGUGUAACUAAAGUCCACCAUGGAGGAGCAGCCUACAAAGAUGGACGAUUGAAGGCUGGGGAUCUUCUCCUAGCGGUAAAUGAGAUUCCCCUGAGGGAUCAACCAGCGACUGAAGCCUUGCGUUCUUUGAGAGAAGCGCCCUCUCCCGUCAGAUUGUUGGUCCUCAGGGAAAACCCACAAAAACUUUUCACAUCAAGAGAAAAAGCUACCAAAUUCAUCACGGUAGAACUGCGGAAGUCCAGCAUCACGGAAAGGUUAGGCCUCAGCCUGAUGCAAAGAGUGUGAGUAUAUGCUCACACACCACUUAUCUCAAGUUUAAACAGCAAAUUAGCCUAGUCAUUAUUUCUUACGUUGUCUUCCUUUAACUAUUUAACUCCUAUGGUCAGAUUAACAUACCCACUGUAGAGAAGUGCAAUGUACCACCAGAAAGAAAGGGCAUUUCAACUUUUGGAGAAAUAAUUGACCACUUACUUUUGUUACUCUUUAAUGUAAACCUGGCACUGAGAAGGUUGUUUAAUACUUCUCCUGUCUCACUAACCUAACAGCAACCAAGCACUUCUCCUGUCUUACUAACCUAGCAGAAACCAAGCACUUCUCCUGU